UAUGUACAUCAGAUGAGGAGCAUCCUGUUUAUUCCUCUUUAGUUUUCAAGGCAUGAUGGGAUGAAAGAAGUUUCAAUGACACAACCAGUUUAAAUGUGAAUGAAUAAAUAUCACUGAUGUAUCACUGAUACACCAAAUUUGGUAUAAUAACCAUCAUUUAUAAAUGUGCUGGAGUGGGGAGGACAGGCACUAUCAUUGCCCUGGAUGUGCUGCUUCAGCAGCUAGAGAAGGAAAGAGCAGUGGGCAUCAAUGGCUUUGUGCACAAGAUGAGACUGAGCCGACCACACAUGGUGCAGACAGAGGUAAGACUGAUCGUAUUAAGGAACUUGAGGCUGAGCUACCACUUCCUUAGUUAGAUACCCGUUUAAGGUUGAGACUCUUGACUUGUCAAAUUUUUGUGUUUGGACUUAUAAUUCAGCAUCACAAAGAAUGUAAAUGUGCAUAUAAACACACACCUUAGAACAGUGAGGCCUACAUUAAUGUGACUGUGUCUAUUUUUGGUUAAUAUUUUAUAAAAGAUUGACUUGUGAAAGUUGAAAUUAGACAGUAGAAAAGACAAUUUCAGACCCAUGUUUUGAGAGGAUGGAUAUGAACAACUACAUGAUGGAAAUCAUAUAUAGUUGUUCAUAGAAUUACGAGAAUUGCGUUAGCACAAAUGCCUGAACUAAACAAGAAUAGGCUCGUUCGAAAUGAACUGCGCCUCGCCUGGGAAGUCGACAAGAUCAGCCGCAGCAGCAAUAUGUCUUGAACAUUAUUGUACAAACAUAGUAGUUUUAAGCCCCAACCAUGUAGUUCUUUCCGCUGGUUUUGUUGCCUAAUCCUAUUGACACCGAGGGUAACUGCAGUUUUGAUGCCAAAAACAAAGUGGCGCCAAGGGGUGUGACGCCAGGAGGGGGGCGUGACAAAGCGGCGGUCUGUGACGAGUUGGAAUGAGAACGUGUUGCAAGAACACUUGGUGGCACCGCUAUAAUUGGGAUGAAACAACUAGCUGCCAAACACACUUAUUCAGGUGCACCUCUUUGCUACUUUUUUGGCCCACUUUCCUCCAUUUCGCGGAUAUAUUUGUCGAGGUGAAAAGUGGGCCAGAGCCUUCCCAUGAGCCUCCACGUGUAGACAGGAAUUAGAUUUAUUACCCAGUAUGCCCCACAGGGGAACACUGUCCCCUGCCCUGUCUAGGCAGAAUCGAUGAAACAUGGAAGGGGAGAGAGGAGGGGAGUGGAAAAGAGCAAGACGAAGAGGAGAGAGGUAACAGCUAUUUUGGAUCUACAGCGCACCCAGGAGAGAGAGAGAACAUCUCGUGGAGAAAAGAAAAUGCAGAGAGAAAAAGAGAAAGGGGGCAAGAAGGUCCACAAGUUAUUUUUGACGUAUAGCUAGACAUAUAAGCUCUCCAUCCAUGCAGGAAGUGUCAUACCAGCUGUUUUCAGCCUUUUAGCACUAAACAUGAAGUGUUAACAGUUAACAUAGUUCAACCAAAGAUAGACAGUUUUAUUUCAAGCUGCUUUAGACAAUAUUAUUAUAUCAAAAACACAAGAUGAAUCUGCAGCGAGACAUUUAUAGCCCGACUCUGCAGCUCCCCCCAGCUCUACAGAGAUUCAUUUGGAGCAUUUUGUAGCUAAAUAGACAGAUGUUCCACUCGGGAGGUGGUGGAGACCAAAGACAGAGCAAAAAGGAGAGUAAUUAUUGAACUUACAUUCAUCAGCUGGAUUUGUAAAUAAGCAACUGUUUGUUAAAAUUCGCCAUAUCAACUUAAACGGUGAUGGUAUGUCAAUACUGUGUUCACAACCUGUUUCCGCUGCCCCCAAAUGGCCAAAAAACAAGUUAUUGCAAGUAUGAUUAGUAAUCUGAGAUAAGACAAUGAUGUGUGUUACAAGAAAGAAGAGCAAAAAUGAGUGAAACUAAAAUUUUAUGAAAA